AGCGAACGCUGGCGGUAGGCCUAACACAUGCAAGUCGAACGGCAGCACAGUAAGAGCUUGCUCUUACGGGUGGCGAGUGGCGGACGGGUGAGGAAUACAUCGGAAUCUACUUUUUCGUGGGGGAUAACGUAGGGAAACUUACGCUAAUACCGCAUACGACCUACGGGUGAAAGCAGGGGAUCUUCGGACCUUGCGCGAUUGAAUGAGCCGAUGUCGGAUUAGCUAGUUGGCGGGGUAAGGGCCCACCAAGGCGACGAUCCGUAGCUGGUCUGAGAGGAUGAUCAGCCACACUGGAACUGAGACACGGUCCAGACUCCUACGGGAGGCAGCAGUGGGGAAUAUUGGACAAUGGGCGCAAGCCUGAUCCAGCCAUACCGCGUGGGUGAAGAAGGCCUUCGGGUUGUAAAGCCCUUUUGUUGGGAAAGAAAAGCAGCAGGUUAAUACCCCGCUGUUCUGACGGUACCCAAAGAAUAAGCACCGGCUAACUUCGUG
rnacentral:rRNA from 1 species